ACACUGCCUCCAUUUUUUCCCCAAAUUUUUUUGCCCUAGAAACUUUCGCCUCAACAACAACAAAAUACUCUGUGAGACCGCUUAUUCUUUUUCACUGCUUCUUCUUCAUUAAUCCAUCUCAGUGAGACCAAGUCCAUUUAGAACCUUAAAAGCUUCAAAUCCAAAAGUUAUUUUGAAUUUGGGGAUAACAAAACCUGGGCACUUUAACUUCUCUAUGCUGAACAAAGAGGUGCAAACAGGUCAAAAUUGAGCUAGCAUUGAGUGAAAGUACAGUGGAUGAGUUUGAAAUUUCUCCAAAUGAUGUUGUUGGUAAGGUGCUAGGCAAAGAGCAUCCUGGAAGGGUAAGAUAUUUGGGAUUAGGAGCUACUCCAAGCAAUACUUUUAGAAAGACAAAUAUUCGUCCUGGUAAUAUUAGAAUUGUGAGUAAUAAUGUUGGAUGUUCUUCUUCUGGAUGCCAAGAGAAGUACAAUCAAUUGAUGAAUACUCUCAAAGAAUACAUGAUAAUGAAAGAAGGGUCAAUACCAGAACAAUUUGCCGGGAUCUUUGCUUCUACUCCUACAACGCCAAGUGAUGCAGUUAAUGUACCCAUUUCACCCACGGAUGAAAGAAGAUCUUCCGGCUCUUGUAAUCCCAGUGACAGCCAUUGAGAUUCAUUUUAAUUGAAGUGGAUGUAUUAGGACAAUGUGAUAACUGACUAAUAUAGACGGCUAACUAUGUUCUAAUUUAGCUUGAUGACAUAUGAUACUACUCCGUCAUAGUAUUUUUACGGUUAAUAAAAUAUUGAUGUUUCUUAA